AAUUUCUGCUGCGUCAACACCCAGCUCAAGGGAGAGGAGAAGAGACAAGGGGGCAUUUUAACAGCAGCUCCACUUGCGAAUAGCCAAGCCUCAAUCCCGGCUCCAGCAUUAAAACCCUUUCCGCCCCCUAAAAACCAGCAUCCGUGCAAGUUGGACCAAGAGUUUGUCAGGAGUGUGGUUCAAAACUGCUUGGAAAAAGGGAUGAGGACAUCUGAUGAACCUUUUGGAGCCUGUUACCAGAGACCAUUCUCCUCUAUUCACUGAAACAUGCACUGUCCAGCUGUGAAACAUCGCGACGUCUAUUUUCGCUAACAGGAAACAUUUUCAAAUAUUGUUACGUCUUUCUCCUGCAAGAGUUCACCCCAGUGCUGUUGGAAGGUCGCGGGACAGUGCACUACCUGUGCUGCCCUAGGGCUGUUGAUGUCCUCAGCUGUUGUAGGAGAAACACCAGACCUGGAACCCAGUUU